CAAGGUUUAAGAAGAUAUGACUUCUCAGAAUUUUGUUGUAUGUGUGCUGUGAAUCCUUCACUUUCCAAAAGGAUUAACUGCUGUAUGUGCCAAGAGUUGACAUUAUAUUCCACCCUGGAGAAGAGAGUUGCCAGUCAAGACGUCACAUGGUAGCUGCAACAAUAUGAUGACCCUGGCAUGACUGUAACCACUCGCUUACGCACAGACUGAGACCAUCAUCUCUAACCCCAAAGGAGGCCAGAAACUCCCAGCAGUUCCCACUGAGGGAGGGGACCAAGCUGAAAACAACACACUGUCUAUUUUAAGGAUGAAACUCCAGAUGCAAUUAAAAGGAGCACUCAUCAACACCUUGCUUUCCUUCAUCCUGUCACUUCUUUGGGUUCCAAUAG
rnacentral:lncRNA from 1 species